AGCUUUGCGCAGUGGCGAUAUCGUAACCAAUGAGGUACAACCGAGGUGCGAUUAUUGCUAGUUGAAAACUUAAACGACGUUGUUUCAUACGUUUAAGUUAAAUGUUUGUGGUAUCAAUUGGUAGUUAAGUUACAUAAAU